rnacentral:lncRNA from 1 species
UUUUCUUCCUCCUACUGCCCUUUGGGAAAAUAAAGGCCCAGUUAUUUUGCUUUUAUCAUACUUAAAUAUAAGCUACCAUGUAUAAAAGCAUUUAUUCUUGUUGUGGAAGAGAUAGGGACUAUUGAUGUCUGCACUCUAUUCUCAAUAUAUAAGAAAAAUAUUCGCAUAUAGUCAAAAAGAAAAUUAGGAAUUAUAAUAAUAAAGUAUUGCUUAUUAAUGAAUGAAUUUUUCUAUAUAAAUUUAUAAAUUUGUGGAUCUACUGACUUCAGAGUCUUUAUUGUUAAUUAGUUAAUGAGGGUAAAGUGCUUUGAAGAUGAAGAGUACUUUUUUGGUUUUAUUUAAUUUUUUUUUUUAGUAAUCUAUUUUUUACACCCAAUAUGGGACUCGAAUUCACAACCCUGAGAGCAAGAGUUGAAUGUUCUUCCAACAGAGCCAACCAGAACCCCUAAAGAUAAGAGUUCUUUUUAGGUGCUUUUAUGUAUUGAUUUAGUCGGAGUUUUGUUCCUUAUGGUAGUGAUGGUUUUUGAAAGCCCUCUUAGUUUUUAUAGUUUCUCAAAUCAAGUAGAUAUUUCAGUCUUUUUCAGUCUUCAGUACAGGCUCUUUGGGUAUAAAAGUGUUGAUGAGAUUGUAACAGAGAAAGUACUGGGAUUAACCUUGGAUAAAUGACAGCUUUUUUACACCCUACUGGGAAGUAGUUUGGCAAUAAGGUUGAUUUUCAUUUCCCACCAGUACAUGUAUAUCAUGAUUAAAGGAUGCCUACUAUAUGGUAUCUGAUACCAGAGCCCAUGUUUGUCACUCACCAGUUAAACCUGGAUCAUAUGUCUAGAGAAAUAAUGUUACAAUGAUUUGCUUUCAUUGUGAUCUUCCCUAUUAAAUAAAUAAUGAAAAGCUAUACUUCCUGUCUGGUAACAAUAAAAUUUAAUCUUUUUGUGAUAUUUCUGAUUGUUAAAGAAUUUGGGGAUCAUUCAUCAUUUCCUAAAUCAUCUCACUUCUAAAUUUUCCUUUUUAUAUCAUCUGCCACUCAUCCAGUUAAGACCUCUUUGCCAUCUACUUGCACUACUAGGACUGCCUCCUAACUAAUCUCCCUACCUCCAUUCAUUUUCCAUAUUGUAGUUCAUUUUAAAUAGCACAGAUAUAUUGAUCUUAAUCUAAAAUAUAGAUAUGAUUAUAUUCUUGCACCUAAAAUUUAUUGGCCAUACUCAGGCCUAGCUAGCAUUCAAUAAUUUACAUAAUUUAAUCCUAACAGUAUUACAGCAUUAUUUCCCACCUCAUUGUGUUUAACUGUUUGCUUUCAUACCUUCAUACCUUUCCUUGAAUAGCUUAGGAUGCAGUACAUUUCUUUCUUUGUACCACCCUCAGAAAUAAUUUAUAUUCACUUGAAGGAGGGAAAUGAGGAAUAUACAAAUAAGUCCCAUUCAGCCAGGGACUAAAUGCAGUCUGUACAUUGUGAAAUGGGUAGCAAUGGUGCAGACAUAGAAAAAUUUAAUGCCUUCUGGUCUGGUAAACCAGAAAUGAGAAACUAGGAAACUGGGAAUGCCAAAGAGAGUGUAGCUUGCAAGGGGAGGAGUUAGACAAGAAAUCUCUAGAUUUUUGUCUUCCUGUAUCUGUGACUCACCUUUCAAUCAUAUGUGCCCAGAAUAGACUCAGAGCAGCCUAACUAAAAAUAAAAGAUCUGCACAAGAAAAAGUUUAUAGAGAUUAGCUAGGAGAAUGAUCUCCUAAAACAAAGGAAACAAAAAAAAAAAAAAAAAAAAAAAAAAAAAAAAAAAAAAAAAAAAAAACAAAGGAAACAAUACUCAUUAAAAAUAACAGAAUCUAGACUCUCUACAACUCGUGAUACAAUCCCAAAUUAACUUGAUAUACAAAGAACCAAGAAAAUAGAACACAUUCUUAUUUGAGUGAACCAAGUGUUGGAAUUUACAUAUAAGAAUUUUAAACCAGCUGUUAUAACUAUCAUCAGUGAAGUAAAACAAAACAUAUUUUCAGUACAUGAAAAUCUCAGCAGAGAAAUGGGAAGUCUUGGCAGAGAAUAGAAAAAACAAAAAGAUCAAAUUGAAGUUCUAGAACUAAAAAAUAUAUUUUUGAAAUGAAAAAUUCACUGGAUGGACUUAAUAGGUAAGUGGACAUAAAAAGAGGAAGUCAUCUCAAACAGAUCAAUAUUAGUUAUCUAAGACAAAAGCAAGGGAAAAAAAGAUUAGCGGGAAAAUGUACAAAGCAUCAAAGAUCUGUUAGAUGGUAUAAAAUAGUUAGCUUCUCAUCGGAAACCAUUGAGGACAGAAGAGAGAAUAACAUCUAUAAAGUGCUAAAGAAACUUGUCAAUCUAGUAUUCUAUACCCAGCAAAUAUAUUAAUCAGUAAUGAAGGGUGGACUUUUCAUUAUGAUCAUUUUGCAAAGAUACAAAUAUCAAAUCGUUACAUUGUAUAUCUGAAACGAAUAUAAUGUUGUUAAUUCUA